rnacentral:rRNA from 1 species
UACGUAGGGUGCAAGCGUUAAUCGGAAUUACUGGGCGUAAAGCGUGCGCAGGCGGUUGUGCAAGACAGAUGUGAAAUCCCCGGGCUUAACCUGGGAACUGCAUUUGUGACUGCACAGCUGGAGUGCGGCAGAGGGGGAUGGAAUUCCGCGUGUAGCAGUGAAAUGCGUAGAUAUGCGGAGGAACACCGAUGGCGAAGGCGAUCCCCUGGGCCUGCACUGACGCUCAUGCACGAAAGCGUGGGGAGCAAACAGG